GUCUAUGGCCAUGCUGCCCUGAACAAGCCCAAUCCCGUCUGAUCUUGGAAGCUAAACAGGGUCGGGCCUGUUUAGUACUUGGAUGGGAGACCACCAGGAAGACCAGGUGCUGUAGGUG
rnacentral:rRNA from 1 species